CUUAAAUAUUGACUCCUUGGUGUGUGAAUACUGUUCUUUAUCCCUUUAGGUUCUCUGAGAUGAAGGAAGCAUCCUUCCAGAGUGGUAAGUGGAUUCAAGUCCUCUUGAACCUGGAGCAAUUUAUCAAGGUGGGAGCUGUCCAUAUGUAAGCAGGCAUCCCAGCCUGAUGAGUACCGUAUUAGCAAACUGUUGCUUCCCACUGGGACCUAAUGUCAUUCACCGACAGAGCCGUGAAGCUGCCUGGGCUUUUUGCACACUGCUUGGAAAAUGGUCGAUUUCCCAGUGGACCUUUUGGGACAACAUGAUGCAUGAGUACUGAAUGGAAAAUGAGGAAGCCCAGAGGAGAGCCUUAAUUAUGCUAACUCAGGUGGAUGAUUGAAUUUUUCUGAGCCUCAGUUUCCCCAUCAAUGAAAAAGGAAUAAUAUUACCAGUCCCACUCUACCUGCCCGAAAUCUUGUGAGUCCAAAAUGAAUGUAUCUCUAUGAAAAGCAUGAAUUUCCUAUAAGUAAUUGGCUGGUCUAUAUCUUUUAAAAUACAUAUUUGUAUUACUUUACUACAAUUUGUAUAGUAAUUAUAAUGAUUAUUGUUGCCCAUUAAUGAUUAAAUUUGUCU
rnacentral:lncRNA from 1 species